AUUGAACGCUGGCGGCAGGCCUAACACAUGCAAGUCGAGCGGAUGAAGGGAGCUUGCUCCUGGAUUCAGCGGCGGACGGGUGAGUAAUGCCUAGGAAUCUGCCUGGUAUUUGGGGAUAACGUCCGGACACGGGCGCUAAUACCGCAUACGUCCUGAGGGAGAAAGUGGGGGAUCUUCGGACCUCACGCUAUCAGAUGAGCCUAGGUCGGAUUAGCUAGUUGGUGGGGUAAAGACCUACCAAGGCGACGAUCCGUAACUGGUCUGAGAGGAUGAUCAGUCACACUGGAACUGAGACACGGUCCAGACUCCUACGGGAGGCAGCAGUGGGGAAUAUUGGACAAUGGGCGAAAGCCUGAUCCAGCCAUGCCGCGUGUGUGAAGAAGGUCUUCGGAUUGUAAAGCACUUUAAGUUGGGAGGAAGGGCAGUAAGUUAAUACCUUGCUGUUUUGACGUUACCAACAGAAUAAGCACCGGCUAACUUCGUG
rnacentral:rRNA from 1 species